ACCACCCAUCCCACGUGGGACUGCUCUUUCAGAAAGGCAGCUAACUCUGAAUGCAUCACUUUGCAAGAAAUGAGUGUCUUCCCCAACUUGCUGACACUUCUCUUCUUCUGAAG